CCAGAGAACUUAGCAGAGAUGCUUUGGUGCCUUCGGGAACUCUGAGACAGGUGCUGCAUGGCUGUCGUCAGCUCGUGUUGUGAAAUGUUGGGUUAAGUCCCGCAACGAGCGCAACCCUUAUCCUUUGUUGCCAGCGGCUCGGCCGGGAACUCAAAGGAGACUGCCGGUGAUAAACCGGAGGAAGGUGGGGAUGACGUCAAGUCAUCAUGGCCCUUACGGCCAGGGCUACACACGUGCUACAAUGGCGCAUACAAAGAGAAGCGACCUCGCGAGAGCAAGCGGACCUCAUAAAGUGCGUCGUAGUCCGGAUUGGAGUCUGCAACUCGACUCCAUGAAGUCGGAAUCGCUAGUAAUCGUAGAUCAGAAUGCUACGGUGAAUACGUUCCCGGGCCUUGUACACACCGCCCGUCACACCAUGGGAGUGGGUUGCAAAAGAAGUAGGUAGCUUAACCUUCGGGAGGGCGCUUACUACUUUGUGAUUCAUGACUGGGGUGAAGUCGUAACAAGGUAGGCGUAGCGAG
rnacentral:rRNA from 1 species